rnacentral:rRNA from 1 species
UACGAAGGGGGCUAGCGUUGCUCGGAAUCACUGGGCGUAAAGCGCACGUAGGCGGCUUUUUAAGUCAGGGGUGAAAUCCUGGAGCUCAACUCCAGAACUGCCUUUGAUACUGAGAGGCUUGAGUCCGGGAGAGGUGAGUGGAACUGCGAGUGUAGAGGUGAAAUUCGUAGAUAUUCGCAAGAACACCAGUGGCGAAGGCGGCUCACUGGCCCGGUACUGACGCUGAGGUGCGAAAGCCAGGGGAGCAAACGGG